AGUGAACGCUGGCGGUAGGCCUAACACAUGCAAGUCGAACGGCAGCACAGUAAGAGCUUGCUCUUACGGGUGGCGAGUGGCGGACGGGUGAGGAAUACAUCGGAAUCUACUUUUUCGUGGGGGAUAACGUAGGGAAACUUACGCUAAUACCGCAUACGACCUACGGGUGAAAGCAGGGGAUCUUCGGACCUUGCGCGAUUGAAUGAGCCGAUGUCGGAUUAGCUAGUUGGCGGGGUAAAGGCCCACCAAGGCGACGAUCCGUAGCUGGUCUGAGAGGAUGAUCAGCCACACUGGAACUGAGACACGGUCCAGACUCCUACGGGAGGCAGCAGUGGGGAAUAUUGGACAAUGGGCGCAAGCCUGAUCCAGCCAUACCGCGUGGGUGAAGAAGGCCUUCGGGUUGUAAAGCCCUUUUGUUGGGAAAGAAAAGCAGCAGGCUAAUACCCCGCUGUUCCGACGGUACCCAAAGAAUAAGCACCGGCUAACUUCGUG
rnacentral:rRNA from 1 species